UAAGGAGACUAGAUAGUCGCAAGUAUAGUAUAAUGCUAUAUUUGAGGAAAGUCCGAGCUCCAUAGAGUAGGAUGCUGGAUAACCCCCAGCCGGAGUAAUCCGCGGGAAAGUGCCACAGAGAGUAUACCGCCUAAUUAAUAUUAGGUAAGGGUGAAAGGGUGCGGUAAGAGCGCACCGGGUCUUUGGUGACAAAGUCGCAUGGUAAACCCCAUCUGGAGCAAGGCUGAAUAGGGGAAGGUUAAGAGCUACUCGUUCAUCUUCCCGGGUUAGCUGCUUGAGAUAGUAGGUAACUACUAUCCUAGAUGGAUGACUAUUACCUGUAAAGGUACAGAACUCGGCUUACAGGUCUGCUUAUUAU
rnacentral:RNase_P_RNA from 2 species